rnacentral:rRNA from 1 species
GACGAACGCUGGCGGCGCGCCUAACACAUGCAAGUCGAACGAGAGAUGAGGAGCUUGCUCUUCAAAUCGAGUGGCGAACAGGUGAGUAACGCGUGAGGAACCUGCCUCGAAGAGGGGGACAACAGUUGGAAACGACUGCUAAUACCGCAUAAGCCCACGGCUCGGCAUCGAGCAGAGGGAAAAGGAGCAAUCCGCUUUGAGAUGGCCUCGCGUCCGAUUAGCUAGUUGGUGAGGUAACGGCCCACCAAGGCGACGAUCGGUAGCCGGACUGAGAGGUUGAACGGCCACAUUGGGACUGAGACACGGCCCAGACUCCUACGGGAGGCAGCAGUGGGGAAUAUUGCACAAUGGGGGAAACCCUGAUGCAGCGACGCCGCGUGGAGGAAGAAGGUCUUCGGAUUGUAAACUCCUGUUGUUGAGGAAGAUAAUGACGGUACUCAACAAGGAAGUGACGGCUAACUACGUGCCAGCAGCCGCGGUAAAACGUAGGUCACAAGCGUUGUCCGGAAUUACUGGGUGUAAAGGGAGCGCAGGCGGGAGAACAAGUUGGAAGUGAAAUCCAUGGGCUCAACCCAUGAACUGCUUUCAAAACUGUUUUUCUUGAGUAGUGCAGAGGUAGGCGGAAUUCCCGGUGUAGCGGUGGAAUGCGUAGAUAUCGGGAGGAACACCAGUGGCGAAGGCGGCCUACUGGGCACCAACUGACGCUGAGGCUCGAAAGUGCGGGUAGCAAACAGGAUUAGAUACCCUGGUAGUCCACACCGUAAACGAUGAUUACUAGGUGUUGGAGGAUUGACCCCUUCAGUGCCGCAGUUAACACAAUAAGUAAUCCACCUGGGGAGUACGACCGCAAGGUUGAAACUCAAAGGAAUUGACGGGGGCCCGCACAAGCAGUGGAGUAUGUGGUUUAAUUCGACGCAACGCGAAGAACCUUACCAAGUCUUGACAUCCCUUGACGAACAUAGAAAUAUGUUUUCUCUUCGGAGCAAGGAGACAGGUGGUGCAUGGUUGUCGUCAGCUCGUGUCGUGAGAUGUUGGGUUAAGUCCCGCAACGAGCGCAACCCUUAUGGUCAGUUACUACGCAAGAGGACUCUGGCCAGACUGCCGUUGACAAAACGGAGGAAGGUGGGGAUGACGUCAAAUCAUCAUGCCCUUUAUGACUUGGGCUACACACGUACUACAAUGGCGUUAAACAAAGAGAAGCAAGACCGCGAGGUGGAGCAAAACUCAGAAACAACGUCCCAGUUCGGACUGCAGGCUGCAACUCGCCUGCACGAAGUCGGAAUUGCUAGUAAUCGUGGAUCAGCAUGCCACGGUGAAUACGUUCCCGGGCCU